CUUUCAUCAAGUUUCUCCAACAUGAUUGCCAUGACGUGUCCCUUACAAAUCUCGAAAAGAGAAUGCUUAUCCACAACCACAAAACCAAGUAUUACGAAAGUCACCGAACUGUGGAAUCGCAUAAAAAAUUCGUAUAUCGACCACUCCCACAAACGUCUACGGCCGCGCCUACAUAGUUUGCAUGUUUACAAUUCUAAUUUUGAACAGCCAAUCAGGUUCUUGCUAAC